rnacentral:rRNA from 1 species
UACGGGAGGCAGCAGUGGGGGAAUAUUGCACAAUGGGCGCAAGCCUGAUGCAGCCAUGCCGCGUGUAUGAAGAAGGCCUUCGGGUUGUAAAGUACUUUCAGUCGUGAGGAAGGUGUUAAGGUUAAUAACCUUAGCAAUUGACGUUAGCGACAGAAGAAGCACCGGCUAACUCCGUGCCAGCAGCCGCGGUAAUACGGAGGGUGCGAGCGUUAAUCGGAAUUACUGGGCGUAAAGGGCACGCAGGCGGUUAAUUAAGUUGGAUGUGAAAUCCCCGGGCUUAACCUGGGAAUGGCAUUCAAGACUGGUUAGCUAGAGUCUUGUAGAGGGGGUAGAAUUCCAUGUGUAGCGGUGAAAUGCGUAGAGAUGUGGAGGAAUACCGGUGGCGAAGGCGGCCCCUGGACAAAGACUGACGCUCAUGUGCGAAAGCGUGGGGAGCAAA